rnacentral:lncRNA from 1 species
CUCGGUUUGGAACAUUCUUCUCCCUCUCUCUCUCUCUUCCCACAUCUCUGGCCUUCAUUCAGUUCCUCCCAUAACGGUUUUAUUGAGAUGUAACUCAUGUCCCAUUAUACAAUUCACCAACUUAAAAGUACCAUUCAGUAGUUUUUAGUAUAUACAUAGAGUUGUGCACCAUCACAAUCAAUUUUAGAAUAUUUUCAUCACCCCCAAAAGAAAAUCUGUACCCAUUUAUCACCUCCCUGUCCCCUACUCCACCCCCCCCCCCAAGCCCUAGGCAAUUACUAAUCUGCUUUCUAUCUGUAUGGAUUUGCCUAUUCUGGACAUUUCAUAUAAAUGGAAUCAUAUAAUAUGUGGUCCUUUGUGACUGGCCUCUUUCCCUCAGCAUAAGGUUUUGAGGUUCAUCCAUUCUGUAGCAUGCAGCAGUACUCCACUCCUUUCUACGGCCAUAUAAUGCCCCACUGUGCGGGCACACGACACUUGGUUUAUCCACUCAUCAGCUGAUGAACACUUGGGCUGUUGUGAAUAAUGCUGUCAUGAACAUUUGUGUAUGACUAUGCGCACAUGUUUUCAUUUCUCUGGGUUACAUACUUGGGAGUGGAAUUGCUGGGUCAUAUGGUAACUCUAUGUUUAACCAUUUGGGGAACUGCCAGACUGUUUUCCGAAGCAGCUGCCCCAUUUUUCCUUCCUACCAGCUGAAUGUGAGGGUUCUGAUUUCUCCACAUCCUCCCAAACACUUGUUAUUAUCUUUGACUAUAGCCAUCCGGGUAGUGUGAAGCGGGAUCUCAUUGUGGUUUGCACUUGCAUUUUCCUGAUGGCUAAUGAUGUUGUGCAUCUUAUUGAUGUUGAUCUUGAGCUGCACCUUGAAGGCCCUGCGUGAUACCCUGGUCCCCAACCCUAGACCACACACACCUCUCUGACCUCAUUUCCCCGUUCCCCUCCCCCUUGCUCCUUCUCUUCCAGCCACACUGGCCUCCCUGCAGGUCCUCGAAUGUGCUAGGCCUCUGCUCCAGCUCUUCCCACUGCCUGGAAUGCUCUUCCUCUGAUAAGCACAUAGCUCGUUUCCUCCCUUCCUUCAAACUUGGGUUCAAACACCACCCACUUGGAGAGGCCUACACUGGCCACCAGGCUUAAAAUUCACCACAGCAUCCAUGCAACCUGGCAAACCCGAGCCCCCGCCCUGCUCUGCUUUUCUCUUUCCUGCUGCACCCCCUCCCUUCUAACAUAUCAUGUAUUUUGUUUAUUUUUUUUCACUUUUUUUUUUUGAGGAAGAUUGGCCCUGAGCUGACAUCUGCUGCCAAUCCUCCUCUUUUUGCGAGGAAGACUGGCCCUGAGCUAACAUCCGUGCCCAUCUUCCUCUACUUUAUAUGCGGGAUGCCUGCCACAGCACAGCUUGACAAGCGGUACAUAGGUCCACACCUGGGAUCCAAACUGGCGGACCACGGGCCACCAAAGUGGAGCAUGUGAACUUAACCAUUGCACCACCAGGCCAGCCUCCUAUAUUUUGUUUUGAUGCGUGCCUUUCCCCAUCACAGUAAGCCCCACAAUGGAAAAGAUCUCUGUUCUCUGAUGUAUGCCAAGUGCCAGAAUGGUGCCUGGCACAUAGUAGGUGGUCAAUAAAUACUUGUUGAAUGACUGAAGACCCUGAAUCUGUCAGGCACCCUGCUGGGGCUGAGGACAGAAUCUCCACUCUCCUGGGGCUGAUCUGUCAGGGGAGGUGGACAACUUCUGAUGGACCACGAAGAUCAAAGAGGGUGACGCGAACAACCGAAGGAGUGGAGGUGAGGGAAGCCGCUCUGAGAGGUGAGCCCAGGCCAUGAGGAGGACAGAAGAGGCAUGGAAAGCUCUCCAGGCACAGCAGACUCCCGUCCACAUGUCCCCAGGUUGCCCUGGGGUAGACCGGAGCAGGCUGGGACAGAGAUCAGUGGCCCGCAAAGGGGAAAAGAACACGCUGCUCACCACUGCCCAGGUGUGUGACAUAACCGCCAUGCCCCCUUACCUCUCUGACCUCGGCACCCUCACUCUGACCCAGACCCGCUGGCUUCCUGAUGGUGUCCCACACACACACCGGGCACAAUCCCCUCACUGGGCCCUUGCACCUGCCGUACCCUUAUCUCAGGAUGCUUUUCCCACAGACCCUCCACAGCCCACAGGAGCCUUCCUCAGAGGCCUUCUCUGCUCAGCCAAGAUCCAAAAGCAGCCACCAUUGCUCCCUUCGCGUCCCCCUGGCCCUGAUUUCUUAUUUUUCAAAAUCUUCAUCGCCUGCCGACAUGAUGCAAUAUAAUUACUUCCUUACUGUUUGGCUCCCCGGGGUCUGUAAGCUCCAUGAGAGCAGGAAUUUUGUCCCUUCUACUCUGCCAUGUCCCCAUAGCAUCCUGCCUGCCACAUCGUAGGUGCUCAAAAAGCAAAAAAGGUCAUUGAAUGAACGCAGGUGUCCGGAGAGGAAUCGUAACAACAUGCACCUGCCAGGAACGCCGCAAGGACGGAGAUCAAGCCCGCAAGGAGCCGGAACCGCGC